CCCUUAGACGUUCUGGGCCGCACGCGCGCUACACUGACGAAGGCAACGAGCUUUCCUUUACCGAAAGGUACGGGUAAUCUUUUGAAACUUCGUCGUGCUGGGGAUAGAUCCUUGCAAUUUUUGAUCUUAAACGAGGAAUGCCUAGUAAGCGCAAGUCAUCAACUUGCGUUGAUUACGUCCCUGCCCUUUGUACACACCACCCGUCGCUACUACCGAUUGAAUGGUUUAGUGAGGCCUUCGGAUCCGCGACUCGUUUUGUGGAGAAGUUGGACAAACUCAGUCAUUUAGAGGAAGUAAAAGUCGUAACA
rnacentral:rRNA from 1 species